GUAGGUGGCAAGCGUUGUCCGGAAUUAUUGGGCGUAAAGCGCGCGCAGGCGGUCCUUUAAGUCUGAUGUGAAAGCCCACGGGCUCAACCGUGGAGGGUCAUUGGAAACUGGGGGACUUGAGUACAGAAGAGGAAAGCGGAAUUCCACGUGUAGCGGUGAAAUGCGUAGAGAUGUGGAGGAACACCAGUGGCGAAGGCGGCUUUCUGGUCUGUAACUGACGCUGAGGCGCGAAAGCGUGGGGAGCGAACAGGAUUAGAUACCCUGGUAGUCCACGCCGUAAACGAUGAGUGCUAAGUGUUAGGGGGUUUCCGCCCCUUAGUGCUGCAGCUAACGCAUUAAGCACUCCGCCUGGGGAGUACGGCCGCAAAGGCUG
rnacentral:rRNA from 1 species